rnacentral:rRNA from 1 species
UGGGGAAUAUUGCACAAUGGGCGUCUAGCCUGAUGCAGCGACGCCGCGUGAGGGAUGACGGCCUUCUGGUUGUAAACCUCUUUCAGCAGGGAAGAAGCGAGAGUGACGGUACCUGCAGAAGAAGCGCCGGCUAACUACGU